GGCGCCAUCGUCUAGUGGCCUAGGACCCGACGUUUUCAGCGUCGUGAUCAGGGGUUCGAAUCCCCUUGGCGUCA
rnacentral:tRNA from 1 species